rnacentral:rRNA from 1 species
UACGAGAGGCGCAAACGUUAUUCGGAAUUACUGGGCUUAAAGAGUUCGUAGGCGGCGCAGCAAGUAGGGUGUGAAAGCCCUCGGCUUAACCGAGGAAUUGCGCUCUAAACUACUGUGCUUGAGGGACCUAGAGGUGAGCGGAACUGAUGGUGGAGCGGUGAAAUGCGUUGAUAUCAUCAGGAACACCGGAGGCGAAGGCGGCUCACUGGGGGUCUUCUGACGCUGAGGAACGAAAGCCAGGGGAGCGAACGGG